rnacentral:rRNA from 1 species
AACAGGAUUAGAUACCCUGGUAGUCCACGCCGUAAACGAUGUCUACUAGCUGUUCGUGGUCUUGUACUGUGAGUAGCGCAGCUAACGCACUAAGUAGACCGCCUGGGGAGUACGGUCGCAAGAUUAAAACUCAAAUGAAUUGACGGGGGCCCGCACAAGCGGUGGAGCAUAUGGUUUAAUUCGACGCAACGCGAAGAACCUUACCUACUCUUGACAUCUACGGAAGUUUGCAGAGAUGCAGAUGUGCCUUCGGGAACCGUAAGACAGGUGCUGCAUGGCUGUCGUCAGCUCGUGUUGUGAAAUGUUGGGUUAAGUCCCGCAACGAGCGCAACCCUUAUCCUUAGUUGCCAGCACGUAAUGGUGGGAACUCUAGGGAGACUGCCGGUGAUAAACCGGAGGAAGGUGGGGACGACGUCAAGUCAUCAUGGCCCUUACGAGUAGGGCUACACACGUGCUACAAUGGUAUGUACAGAGGGAGGCAAGCUGGCGACAGUGAGCGGAUCUCUUAAAGCAUAUCGUAGUCCGGAUCGCAGUCUGCAACUCGACUGCGUGAAGUCGGAAUCGCUAGUAAUCGCAAAUCAGAAUGUUGCGGUGAAUACGUUCCCGGGCCUUGUACACACCGCCCGUCACACCAUGGGAGUGGGUUGCAAAAGAAGUAGGUAGCUUAACCUUCGGGAGGGCGCUUACCACUUUGUGAUUCAUGACUGGGGUGAAGUCGUAACAAGGUAACC